rnacentral:rRNA from 1 species
GACGAACGCUGGCGGCGUGCUUAACACAUGCAAGUCGAACGGAAAGGCCCUGCUUUUGUGGGGUGCUCGAGUGGCGAACGGGUGAGUAACACGUGAGUAACCUGCCCUUGACUUUGGGAUAACUUCAGGAAACUGGGGCUAAUACCGGAUAGGAGCUCCUGCUGCAUGGUGGGGGUUGGAAAGUUUCGGCGGUUGGGGAUGGACUUGCGGCUUAUCAGCUUGUUGGUGGGGUAGUGCUUACCAAGGCUUUGACGGGUAGCCGGCCUGAGAGGGUGACCGGCCACAUUGGGACUGAGAUACGGCCCAGACUCCUACGGGAGGCAGCAGUGGGGAAUAUUGCACAAUGGGCGGAAGCCUGAUGCAGCAACGCCGCGUGCGGGAUGACGGCCUUCGGGUUGUAAACCGCUUUCGCCUGUGACGAAGCGUGAGUGACGGUAAUGGGUAAAGAAGCACCGGCUAACUACGUG